GUUGUAUGGUUAAGUGACUAAGCGUACACGGUGGAUGCCUUGGCAGUUGGAGGCGAUGAAGGACGUAUUAACUUGCGAUAAGCCUGGUCAAGCUAGUAAAAAGCGCUUGAGGCCAGGAUUUCCGAAUGGGGAAACCCACCUGCUUGCAGGUAUCUUGCACUGAAUACAUAGGUGUAAGAGGCGAACGCGGAGAACUGAAACAUCUAAGUACCCGUAGGAAAAGAAAUCAACCGAGAUUCCGAAAGUAGCGGCGAGCGAAAUCGGAGCAGCCCUUAAGCUUAUUUGAUGUUAGUGGAAGGCUCUGGAAAGUGCCACGAUACAGGGUGAUAGUCCCGUACACGACAACGUCUAAUAAGUGAAAUCGAGUAGGUCGGAGCACGUGAAACUUUGACUGAAUAUGGGGGGACCAUCCUCCAAGGCUAAAUACUCCCAACUGACCGAUAGUGAACCAGUACCGUGAGGGAAAGGCGAAAAGAACCCCUGUGAGGGGAGUGAAAUAGAACCUGAAACCGUGUACGUACAAGCAGUAGGAGCCCUUCGAGGGUGACUGCGUACCUUUUGUAUAAUGGGUCAGCGACUUAUAUUUUGUAGCGAGGUUAACCGAAUAGGGUAGCCGUAGUGAAAGCGAGCGUUAACUGCGCGUUGAGUUGCAAGGUAUAGACCCGAAACCCGGUGAUCUAGCCAUGGGCAGGUUGAAGAUUGAGUAACAUCAAUUGGAGGACCGAACCCACUAACGUUGAAAAGUUAGGGGAUGACCUGUGGCUUGGAGUGAAAGGCUAAUCAAACCGGGAGAUAGCUGGUUCUCCCCGAAAUCUAUUUAGGUAGAGCCUCGGACGAAUACCAUUGGGGGUAGAGCACUGUUUGGGCUAGGGGGUCAUCCCGACUUACCAACCCCAUGCAAACUCCGAAUACCAAUGAGUACUAUCCGGGAGACACACGGUGGGUGCUAACGUCCAUCGUGGAGAGGGAAACAACCCAGACCGCCAGCUAAGGUCCCAAAGUGUAUGUUAAGUGGGAAACGAUGUGGGAAGGCUAAAACAGCUAGGAGGUUGGCUUAGAAGCAGCCACCCUUUAAAGAAAGCGUAAUAGCUCACUAGUCGAGUCGGCCUGCGCGGAAGAUGUAACGGGGCUAAACAUACCACCGAAGCUGCGGCUGCAACUUUAUGUUGCGGGGUAGGGGAGCGUUGUGUAAGUGGCUGAAGGUGUGCCGGGAGGCAUGCUGGACAUAUCACAAGUGCGAAUGCUGACAUGAGUAACGAUAAUGCGGGUGAAAAACCCGCACGCCGGAAGACCAAGGGUUCCUAUCCCAUGUUAAUCAGGGUAGGGUGAGUCGACCCCUAAGGCGAGGCCGAAAGGCGUAGUCGAUGGGAAACGGGUUAAUAUUCCCGUACUUGGUAUAGAUGCGAUGGGGGGACGGAGAAGGCUAGGCAGGCACGGCGUUGGUUGUCCGUGUGAAAGGCAGUAGGCUUGAAUCUUAGGUAAAUCCGGGAUUCUUUAAGGCUGAGAGUCGAGACGACACUCUACGGAGUGGAAGCUGUUGGUGCCAUACUUCCAGGAAAAGCCUCUAAGCUUCAGUCUAUAUCGAAUCGUACCCUAAACCGACACAGGUGGUCAGGUAGAGAAUACUAAGGCGCUUGAGAGAACUCGGGUGAAGGAACUAGGCAAAAUAGUACCGUAACUUCGGGAGAAGGUACGCCCACAUUAGGUGAAGGACCUGCGUCUGGAGCUGAAGUGGGUCGCAGUGACCAGGUGGCUGGGACUGUUUAUUAAAAACACAGCACUGUGCUAAAUCGUGAGAUGACGUAUACGGUGUGACACCUGCCCGGUGCCGGAAGGUUAAUUGAUGGGGUUAGACUUUGUCGAAGCUCUUGAUCGAAGCCCCGGUAAACGGCGGCCGUAACUAUAACGGUCCUAAGGUAGCGAAAUUCCUUGUCGGGUAAGUUCCGACCUGCACGAAUGGUGUAACCAUGGCCACGCUGUCUCCACCCGAGACUCAGUGAAAUUGAAAUCGCAGUGAAGAUGCUGUGUACCCGCGGCUAGACGGAAAGACCCCGUGAACCUUUACUACAGCUUGGCACUGAACAUUGAGCCUACAUGUGUAGGAUAGGUGGGAGGCUUUGAAGUGGUUACGCCAGUAAUCAUGGAGCCAUCCUUGAAAUACCACCCUUGUAUGUUUGAUGUUCUAACGUUGGCCCCUGAAUCGGGGUUGCGGACAGUGCCUGGUGGGUAGUUUGACUGGGGCGGUCUCCUCCCAAAGAGUAACGGAGGAGCACGAAGGUUGGCUAAGUACGGUCGGACAUCGUACGGUUAGUGUAAUGGUAGAAGCCAGCUUAACUGCGAGACAGACACGUCGAGCAGGUACGAAAGUAGGUCAUAGUGAUCCGGUGGUUCUGAAUGGAAGGGCCAUCGCUCAACGGAUAAAAGGUACUCCGGGGAUAACAGGCUGAUACCGCCCAAGAGUUCAUAUCGACGGCGGUGUUUGGCACCUCGAUGUCGGCUCAUCACAUCCUGGGGCUGAAGUCGGUCCCAAGGGUAUGGCUGUUCGCCAUUUAAAGUGGUACGCGAGCUGGGUUUAGAACGUCGUGAGACAGUUCGGUCCCUAUCUGCCGUGGGCGUUUGAGAAUUGAGAGGGGCUGCUCCUAGUACGAGAGGACCGGAGUGGACGAACCGCUGGUGUUCGGGUUGUUUUGCCAAAGGCAUUGCCCGGUAGCUACGUUCGGAAUCGAUAACCGCUGAAAGCAUCUAAGCGGGAAGCGAGCCUCGAGAUGAGUUCUCACUUGGCGUUUAACGCCACUAAAGGGCCGUUGAAGACGACAACGUUGAUAGGCAGGAUGUGGAAGCGCUGCAAGGCGUUAAGCUAACCUGUACUAAUUACCCGUGAGGCUUAACCAUACAACGCCAAAGUGGUUU
rnacentral:rRNA from 1 species